rnacentral:piRNA from 1 species
UCCNCGGACCCACUACUCCCACAGAUAGC